AGAAUGUCAGCUUUGGGUGCUGACGGUGGGGGAGUAGUCCUUCCUUCUUGA
rnacentral:tRNA from 1 species